CCCUUAGAUGUCCUGGGCCGCACGCGCGCUACAAUGACACGUUCAACAAGUACUUUCCUGGCUUGGAAAAGGUUCGGGUAAUCUUUAUAAUACGUGUCGUGCUGGGGAUUGAUCUUUGGAAUUAUAGAUCUUGAACGAGGAAUUCCUAGUAAGCAUAAGUCAUCAGCUUGUGCUGAUUACGUCCCUGCCCUUUGUACACACCGCCCGUCGCUCCUACCGAUUUUGAGUGAUCCGGUGAACCUUUGGACUGCGGUGUCUUCAUGGCACUCGUGGGAAGUUAAGUAAACCUUAUCACUUAGAGGAAGGAGAAGUCGUAACA
rnacentral:rRNA from 1 species